AAUGGGUUCUAUUCCCAAACCGUGUAUACAUCCUUUGUUGCUUUGGCAGGCCGCCUUUUAGGCGUCGGCUCCGGCUGACUGCGCUUGCCAGAGGACCCAAACUCGUUUGUUUAGUGAUGUCUGAGUACUAUACAAUAGUUAAAACUUUCAACAACGGAUCUCUUGGUUCUGGCAUCGAUGAAGAACGCAGCGAAAUGCGAUAAGUAAUGUGAAUUGCAGAAUUCAGUGAAUCAUCGAAUCUUUGAACGCACAUUGCGCCCCUUGGUAUUCCGAGGGGCAUGCCUGUUCGAGCGUCAUUAUAACCACUCAAGCCUCGGCUUGGUCUUGGGGUUCGCGGUCUCGCGGCCCUUAAAAUCAGUGGCGGUGCCGUCUGGCUCUAAGCGUAGUAAUUCUCUCGCUAUAGAGUCCCGGCGGCUACCUGCCAGAACCCCCCAUUUUUUACGGUUGACCUCGGAUCAGGUAGGGAUACCCGCUGAACUUAAGCAUAUCAAUAAGCGGAGGAAAAGAAACCAACAGGGAUUGCCUCAGUAACGGCGAGUGAAGCGGCAACAGCUCAAAUUUGAAAUCUGGCUCUUUCAGGGU
rnacentral:rRNA from 1 species